rnacentral:misc_RNA from 1 species
CAUGCAAGUCUGCACGUUGCGCUUCCUCGUUUGCCGUUGUAGUUGUUGUUUCCAUCCUUCCUCCCCCCCCACACACACAGUUUCGGUGUGCAUGUGUACGUCACUAACGUGCCGACAGCUUCCGUUUAGCGAGUUAGUUUUCUUUUUUCCUUUUUCGGGUUUUCCUCUUCGGUGCGCUCUUUUCAUUCGUGCGAGUUGUGGUGGAUUGGCGUGUGUACGGCAGGGUUCAUCGUUCCUUUCUGCAGACGCCCUUUCGGAAAAAAAAGGGAUAAGGGUCAGACUACCCCCUCCUCUCUUUUUCGUCUUUCUCGUUCUCACUGUGCAUUAGCCCCUCCCCCUCCCCCUCCUCCUCCCUCUCUCGCGCCGCGCCGCGCCUCGCCGCACUCCUCCUCCGCCUUUUCAGUGGAUCUGGUGCUCCUGCAAGGGAAGUGGAGAGGUUCUCUCUAUAUACCACCGUUCCGGGACGGAUUCUUCGCUUUUUUUUGUUUGUCGCUGCAUUCGUCGAGCGGCAACGGCCAUUGCGGCGCCGCUAUCUCCACAUCGCGCCAUUCCUGCCAAAGGAAAGCCAUCUCCGAAGAAACGCUCCCGCCCCCGUCCCCCCUCUCUCCUCCCCAUUCAGCGCAGGCGCUGUUAUUUCGGUGGCGGGUAGAGUGCCCUUCUCUCUCUGUCUUCGAUAGACAAAAAAAUUUCGGCCCUUCCCCCCUUUUUUCUCGCUUUUUUAUUAUUAUUUUUGUACACACCCUCUCUCUCCCCCCAUCCCCCCCCCCGCAGACACGCGGAGCUUAGCGUGGAGCCAUGGACUGCGUGAACCACGUGACGAGCGAUGCGGACAUUCUGCCAUGCAAGUCCGAUGUCAUCCUCAGCAAAACGUCGUCUGCCAACUUCACCGUUGGCACAAGACCGCUGCUGGCGAGUCACCGACGUCUGCUUUGCAUGAACGUGAAGCAAACCAACAUGCUGCGUGUGCUGAACCGCCACGGCAAGCACAAUGACACGACCAUCAAGGCAGCCGCAGUCGCAAACCUAGUAUCGACAGAGAGGAUUACCGGUCACCCCACCCUCUUCUACGCCGUGGGCGGGAGAGACUUGGCCAUCAUCUGCCCCACCACGCAGGCGAACGGCGACAUCUCCGUCUCGUUGGUGGAAUCAAGACUGGAUGAGGAGGGCUACGCCUCGACUGCCGGCGAGUCGCAGCGGCUCUACGUGCUCGGUCAGCAGGACGUGAUGGAGGUGGAGGAGUCUACUGGCAUCGUCAAGAGCAAGAUCCCCCUCACCCCAAAGACGACGGUCAAGUACCCCGUUAUCGACUACCAUCAAGCAGCCCAGCUGCUGCUCGUGCCGGCGAAGUCGACGCAUCUCGACCUCAUCUCGACUCGCACCCGCAAGAGCGUGCUGGGCCGUGUCUGGGAGCCGCAUGAGGACACUGUGCCGACCUUUGCCUGCUUUUUCCAGCACCAUGCUUUCUCUGAGGAGUCGGGCAAGGAGCUGCUCAUCGUGACGGCGGCGCAGGGCAACCGCGAGAUUCGUUUCUGGGCCUACCAGAGCGACACCCAGAAGUUCGCGCUCAAGCAGCAGCUGAGCCUCUCCUACAAGGAUGAGCCGAAGGAGGAGUACGACAUAAGUGUCACCGCUGACGAGGAGUACAUCACGCUCUGCUCUCGCACGAGGCCGUAUGCGGUGGUGAUCGAAACCCACCACACCCUUUUCAAGGCGUACAGGGUGACGUCCUGGCGCAUGGCAGGGCCGGCGCUGUGCUCGACGACGUCCGUUGGCAAGGUUACGGAGAGCGCGCAGAGCAAGUCCGUCAGCUACGAGCUCUUCAUCACAAUUCGGACAGAGACCGGUUUUGUUCAGUCGAUGCCUAACUCCAGCCGCCUCGCCGGUGCGUCGAACUUGGCCGUAGCGAGGGGCGACUCUGUGGCAAACUGGUUUCCGUCCCUCGCGGCUGGCGGUACCGGUGCUGGUCGUGACGCGACGGGUGUGCCGGCCGGCGCGGGUGCCGCCGGUGCGGCGAUAACGCCGAUCACCGCCGUCUCGUCCUCGCUUGCUGGUGAGAUUAAGACAAGCAGCAUGUCGGAAACGGCCGUCGCCUCCAUCGUGCGGUCGCAGGCGCAGAAGUUCUGCGAGCAGGUCAAGGUGAUUGAUGCCGACCUUGUAAGCAUGCAGAGAAGCGCCUCAGACACGAUGCGGCUGUUGCAGGACUCGCGCUACCGCACCGAGGCGCAAAACAGCGGUCGCACCUUCGCCAUCCGCAACCGCGCGCGCCUCGAGAAGAUCACCUCUACUGCAGCGUCUCCGGCAAGCAUGAAGCCGGCUGCGGCACCUGUUGCUGCAGACGCCGCCGGGUCUGCUGAUAGCGAGUACGGCGUGCUAACGGCCGGGGAGCGCGAGCUUGUGCUGAGUAUCCGCAACUUUGUGCAGGAGGUGCAGGGUGGUAGCGCGGCCGCGGCCUCGGCAGCGCUGAAGGCGCUCCUCAGCAAGCAGCUCCGCCUCUCCGUGG